rnacentral:rRNA from 1 species
GGCGGCGUGCUUAACACAUGCAAGUCGAACGAUGAAGCCCAGCUUGCUGGGUGGAUUAGUGGCGAACGGGUGAGUAACACGUGGGUGAUCUGCCCUGCACUUCGGGAUAAGCCUGGGAAACUGGGUCUAAUACCGGAUAGGACCUCGGGAUGCAUGUUCCGGGGUGGAAAGGUUUUCCGGUGCAGGAUGGGCCCGCGGCCUAUCAGCUUGUUGGUGGGGUAACGGCCCACCAAGGCGACGACGGGUAGCCGGCCUGAGAGGGCGACCGGCCACACUGGGACUGAGACACGGCCCAGACUCCUACGGGAGGCAGCAGUGGGGAAUAUUGCACAAUGGGCGAAAGCCUGAUGCAGCGACGCCGCGUGAGGGAUGACGGCCUUCGGGUUGUAAACCUCUUUCGACAGGGACGAAGCGCAAGUGACGGUACCUGUAGAAGAAGCACCGGCCAAUUACGUGCCAGCAGCCGCGGUAAUACGUAGGGUGCGAGCGUUGUCCGGAAUUACUGGGCGUAAAGAGCCUGUAGGCGGUUUGUCGCGUCGUCUGUGAAAACUCACAGCUCAACUGUGAGCUUGCAGGCGAUACGGGCAGACUUGAGUACUGCAGGGGAGACUGGAAUUCCUGGUGUAGCGGUGAAAUGCGCAGAUAUCAGGAGGAACACCGGUGGCGAAGGCGGGUCUCUGGGCAGUAACUGACGCUGAGAAGCGAAAGCGUGGGUAGCGAACAGGAUUAGAUACCCUGGUAGUCCACGCCGUAAACGGUGGGCGCUAGGUGUGGGUUUCCUUCCACGGGAUCCGUGCCGUAGCUAACGCAUUAAGCGCCCCGCCUGGGGAGUACGGCCGC